ACUAACAAAUUGGCUGGCUCAAAUUAGAUGUAUCUUGCUUCGUUUCUUUCUUUGUUUUUGGUUUUCUCUUAAUAAUGGAACCACGAACCAACGGUGGCUAUAGUACUCGAACUUCUCAUCAAGUUGCAUCACCUCAAGUGAGCUCGCGCAUGUCGGCAGUGCUGCCUCAUUUCGAUGCCCUUAUCAUGAGGGAUCAGCAAUUAACCAUAUAUACGGAGCAAAUUAAAUGAUACAAAAAGCUUCUCUCGUCACCUUCAAACUAAAUACUUCUGAAAUAUGACACAAACACCACAGAAUUAACUCAUCCCUGUCCUUUCUCACCUAGUAUAAGGGUUUAGAGAAACUGUCAACCUUCUACUCCCUCCAU
rnacentral:lncRNA from 1 species